AUCGUCUCCAAUCUUCGGACCACCAGGCAAGCGAAUCCCUAUUCGCCUCAGAGGCGGAGCAGAAGGCACAGUCAGCGACCGCAGUAGGAGCGUUAUGUCAGCAGGAGUACCUGAGGAAAGACAAAAAUGGCACGGUUUACUGAAGAAGUGACGAACUCUUACUUUCACGUCAAGAAAUGGAGACUAACUGCAGCUGACUGGAUUCGACUAUAUUCGUGCUUGACUUGAUUUAUGAAGUACAGCCUUGAGAAUAAGGUGAAAAGAAUCGUUCGACACCUGGAAAAAAAAUUAGAUUUUGCUCCUUACGAUUUCUUUCGGUCUGAGAAGAGGAUGUCUCCUUCCUAUUGUGAGCACAGUGACGACUUACUUCAUCGUUUAAGAUUUCGGAAAGACCACCGGAGAGUAAAGAUAAUUAUAGUCUCUGGUGAAACCCAAAGUCCAAAUAUUCACAGCAGUUAGGAUUUGCCAUCCAAUUGCAUUGCUGCUGUGGAGGAAGACGUCUGAUAUACAUGUUGCACGAAAUUAGUGAUAAUAACCAAAUUAAAAUGAUAAUACUAAUGGAAAUAUGUUACUGUCAACAUCAUUUUUAUAAUAAGUAGUGAAAAAGACGGAGAUGAAGUGAGAGGAUACUCGUAGCUAGUGUUUACACAAAUAUUUGAUGAUGUGGGAUUACGCAAACACAAUUAUUUCUUGCAACCGUUGGUGGCAUGAUGUAGGUGAGAACUCAUUUGCCGUUUUAUGGUAUUAUGUUUAUGAAAUUCAAGGAUAAUGAAGUUGUUUUACAUUUUCGUUUGUAAACAGAUAUUCUGAUAUGCUGUUGAAGGAUUGUUUUUGUAAGUUGUAUGUCGUGUAUAUAUGUGACCUGUGUCUCCUCAUGCUCGAGGUUGGAGUGUGUUCGUACUCAUGCUGUGAACACAGACACGGCUGUGGUUGAUUCUGAUCACGUUUUGUUCUGACUUCCUUUAGCCACAACAGGCGUCUCAGUCUGUUUUUGUAGAAUAAAUGUAGCAACGAAAUCUCACCUAUUGAAUAGACUCUCGAACAGGACACAUGCUCUUCAUAAGACGAAGCCGCAACUUACCUCAAUUUUGCAAUGAACUGCCCACACUUACAAUGGAACCUGGUUCCUUCAUUCGUGUCUUGAAUCAUGCAAAUAUUGCUAUAAGGAUCUUAGUGGCUUAGGUACCUUAGGGUCGUUUGGGGAAACAAGAUAAAUUUAUCUUGUUAUGCACUCCAUUAGUACCUACGAGAAGUUUAUAUGAAAUGGGAUAUGAUUUAAAAUCAAAGAUCCGUAAAUCCUGAACGAAAACUCACAAUUCAUUGUCUGAAGAACCUUAUCAUGACGAGUAAAACUUGUGAAAGCUACUGAAUUAUAAUGAGUAAAGUAAGAUUAAUUGAUUAUAGGUCAUUGUUCUCUCUGUUCUAUAAUGUGAAUGACUGUAAAACAUCUAUAAAAUAAUUUAAAAAUUAUAAGCUGCUAGUUUAUUCGAAGGUUGAGUUAGAUGUUGGGAUCUUAUGCAACUUUUGUGGAUAAUGCCAAAUAACCAAAGCACUUGUAAAUGUUUCUCUCUUUAAUUAAAUGCUACUACCUGAGGUAUCUCAGUUCUACCUCAAAUCUGAUCUUCUUCAGUAAAGUAAUUUUCUU